GUCUUCGUGGCUCAGUUGGCUAGAGCGUUGGUCUCAUAUUCGUAUGAUCCAGUCAUAGACUGGGCUAUCCAAAGGUCGUGAGUUCGAGCCUCACCGAGGACA
rnacentral:tRNA from 1 species